rnacentral:lncRNA from 1 species
AGCACCAAAACUACUUUGGAAUAGAUGAAAACCUUGGUCCAGUAGCAGUCAGCAUCCGGAGAGAGAAGGUGGAAGAUGCCAAGGAGAAAGAAGGAUCCCAGUUCAACUACAGGGUGGCUUUCAGGACAAGUGAGCUUACAACACUGAGAGGAGCAAUUUUAGAAGAUGCUAUACCCUCUACUGCUAGGCAUGGUACCGCACGAGGACUACCUCUCAAAGAAGUUUUGGAAUACGUCAUUCCAGAGCUGAGCAUUCAGUGUUUGCGACAGGCUUCCAACUCACCCAAGGUCUCAGAGCAGCUGCUCAAGCUUGAUGAACAAGGGGUGUGUAUAAUGUGAGAUUGUAUGUUUGUGUGUGAAUUUGUGUCUGUUUCUGAAAGUUUUGGAGUUUUCCCAUCCAUCUUUCUUGUAAGAUCAUUUAUUUUAAAUGCCUUAGAACAUUUUCUCUUUAGUUUUUCCCAAAUAUGUUUUUAUACUAGUUUGGAAACAUGAUGCCAUUAUAGUAUAACACA